ensembl:lncRNA
AUGAAGCUCUUUACCACUGUCAUCGCAUUAUUUACAGUCGCUGUGUGUGUUCCUCCGUUGAAUUAUGAGGCAACUGAAGGAGAGAAUGUUACUAUCUCCUUCAAAACUGCUGGACUGGAGAGAGCCGAUCAAGUGAAGAUAACUCUGACCAGAGGAAGUCAGAAAAAACUGAUUGCGCAGCACUGUCGCUGUGUCCAUCGUGGAGACUGUAGUGUCAGGGAAACAUCGGGAGUCUUACUGAGAGUUGAAGAAGGAACCGUAACUCUUCUACGUGUCAGCUCCAAUAACUCAGGCCUCUAUGAAGUAAUAAUCAUUGGAAGUAAUGUGUCCAGGAUAAAUGCCACACUUGUUGUCAACGAACCUCGGUUGUCCUCCAGUAAUGAGCCACCACAAUCCUCCAUCACAAAACCUCCAGACUCCUCUGAACGCCAAAGGCUUUAUGUGUUAAUUGCUCCAGUUGUAUUCAUCUUGGUGGUCUUGGGGGGUUUGUUUCUUCUGUACAUUUUCAGGAGGAAAUGUAAGUCAUCAGCUGAUGUUGAAGCAGUGUGCUGAACCGCUGCUGUCUCCAGGUAUGAAGCUCAUCACUGGUUUAUGUAUUUCCUCAGGUUUUCAUAAAGAAUAUUGUACUUUUCCAUGUUGAGUCUCACUAAAGUCGGUUUUCUUUACAGAUUCAGUAUCUUCAAAAAAAAAAAAAAAAAAAAAAAAAAAAAUUAAGACUGAAGAUCAACUGGUGGAGUUUUAAAACUCAAAAUAUUAGGGCUUCACUGAUAUCCAGGUGUUCAGAAUGACAUCUGAUGGUACAGAUCUCACGCUUUGUGCUGUAUGGUUUGCAUUUCCUCAUUCUGUAAAAUGCUUCAGCUACAGGCCUAUAUGUCAGUUUUUAAGAAACACAGUUUCUCCGAAGCAAUACUGUAAGGGAUACAGGAAACCCACUUUAUUUAGUUCACUAAUACUGAAAUUAACAACAGAGCACAAACUGUUAUAUUCAGCUGCUGUUUAUUUUAGGAUCUUCUAAUUACACUCCAAAAAACGUCAAUUAAAACAGUUGUAUACAAAAAGAUGUAUUUGCACAUAACUUUAUUUAGAUUUAAAUUUACAUUAAUAACUAUCAAUAAACUCCUCCUAAAAUGUUUUAAUAGCUAACA